rnacentral:rRNA from 1 species
AUUGAACGCUGGCGGCAGGCCUAACACAUGCACGUCGAACGAUUGGCGGACGGGUGAGUAAUGUCUGGGAAACUGCCCGAUGGAGGGGGAUAACUACUGGAAACGGUAGCUAAUACCGCAUACCAUCGGAUGUGCCCAGAUGGGAUUAGCUAGUAGGUGGGGUAACGGCUCACCUAGGCGCCGAGCCCUAGCUGGUCUGAGAGGAUGCCCAGCCACACUGGAACUGAGACACGGUCCAGACGCCUACGGGAGGCAGCAGUGGGGAAUAUUGAACAAUGGGCGCAAGCCUGAUGCAGCCAUGCCGCGUGUAUGAAGAAGGCCUUCGGGUUGUAAAGUACUUUCAGCGAGGAGGCGUUACUCGCAGAAGAAGCACCGGCUAACUCCGUGCCAGCAGCCGCGGUAAUAC